rnacentral:rRNA from 1 species
UGGGAAUUUUGGACAAUGGGCGAAAGCCUGAUCCAGCAAUGCCGCGUGUGUGAAGAAGGCCUUCGGGUUGUAAAGCACUUUUGUCCGGAAAGAAAUCCUUGGCUCUAAUACAGUCGGGGGAUGACGGUACCGGAAGAAUAAGCACCGGCUAACUGCGUGCCAGCAGCCGCGGUAAUACGUAGGGUGCAAGCGUUAAUCGGAAUUACUGGGCGUAAAGCGUGCGCAGGCGGUUUGCUAAGACCGAUGUGAAAUCCCCGGGCUCAACCUGGGAACUGCAUUGGUGACUGGCAGGCUAGAGUAUGGCAGAGGGGGGUAGAAUUCCACGUGUAGCAGUGAAAUGCGUAGAGAUGUGGAGGAAUACCGAUGGCGAAGGCAGCCCCCUGGGCCAAUACUGACGCUCAUGCACGAAAGCGUGGGGAGCAAACAGGAUUAGAUACCCUGGUAGUCCACGCCCUAAACGAUGUCAACUAGUUGUUGGGGAUUCAUUUCCUUAGUAACGUAGCUAACGCGUGAAGUUGACCGCCUGGGGGAGUACGGUCGCAAGAUUAAAACUCAAA